AAAUAAGAAGCAUAUUGGUAAUGCAUUUAAUUUCGGCCUAAAAGAAGAUAUAAAAAUAUCCUUAUUUA
rnacentral:tRNA from 1 species